GACGAACGCUGGCGGCGUGCUUAACACAUGCAAGUCGAACGGAAAGGCCCUGCUUUUGUGGGGUGCUCGAGUGGCGAACGGGUGAGUAACACGUGAGUAACCUGCCCUUGACUUUGGGAUAACUUCAGGAAACUGGGGCUAAUACCGGAUAGGAGCUCCUGCUGCAUGGUGGGGGUUGGAAAGUUUCGGCGGUUGGGGAUGGACUCGCGGGUUAUCAGCUUGUUGGUGGGGUAGUGGCUUACCAAGGCUUUGACGGGUAGCCGGCCUGAGAGGGUGACCGGGCACAUUGGGACUGAGGUACGGCCCAGACUGCAACGGGAGGCAACAGUGGGGAAUAUUGCACAAUGGGCGGAAGCCUGAUGCAGCAACGCCGCGUGCGGGAUGACGGCCUUCGGGUUGUAAACCGCUUUCGCCUGUGACGAAGCGUGAGUGACGGUAAUGGGUAAAGAAGCACCGGCUAACUACGUG
rnacentral:rRNA from 1 species